rnacentral:rRNA from 1 species
AGUAACGCGUAAGAACUUGCCCUUUAGACUGGGAUAACAGAGGGAAACUUCUGAUAAUACUGGAUAAGUUAGUAUAUCGCAUGAUAUGCAAAUGAAAGCUACGGCACUAAAGGAGAGCUUUGCGUCCUAUUAGCUAGUUGGUAAGGUAAGAGCUUACCAAGGCGAUGAUAGGUAGCCGGCCUGAGAGGGUGGACGGCCACAAGGGGACUGAGAUACGGCCCUUACUCCUACGGGAGGCAGCAGC